rnacentral:lncRNA from 1 species
CCAGUUUCAGUAACAUUUAAUCAGGACCGUCGAGGUUCUUUGAUCGAACGAUCCUGAAGCUGGGUGUUUUAAUAGAUAUAUGUCCAACCACGUCCUUACCCCCUUCUCACCGUACCAAACCCUAAUUCCGCCAUCUACCACCGUGAACUGCCGGCCGGAAAUCGCCUCUACCGACGACAGUUGUCCAAUAAGCCCCAAAUUUACACCACUUCAUCUCCGCACCUCCCCAUCCCAAAUCCGCCAUUAAAUUUCCUCAAAGCCAAGCCGAACUUCUCGAAUAUUAGCCAGAAGUACUGGCUCCUCCGCCGGCCACGGCCCAUCACCAAUCGAUCUAAAAUUAACAAUAAAGGGCCCCUGUCUCUUCCUCAUGCCAAAUCCGCACUCAACAUCCUUCAAACACACCUGGAUAUUCUCGUAUAUCGAUUCAAAAGGGACCGCCAAAAUAUCACCACAACCAAAUCAUCCAAAACUACACCCUACAACCUCCCCACCUCCUUCACCUCAAAUCCACAACCUAUUCCCUUGAAUAUCCCCGCAAUUUUGGAUGUACGGCUUCCGGAAUUUUCAACAUAGUGCAUGAAGAACCCUAUUCAAAUUUCAGGGUUCGAAUUGGAGUUCUAAGCUAAGUUUUCUAUGUUUCUUUUCUAAUUUCCUUCCGCCUCACCUCUUUCUGUUAAUUCGUUUAUGAGCCUAAGUAGGUUUAAUUCGAAAUUAUGUCAGUCUCAUUUGCUUAAUAUCUGAGUUCAAAAUUAGAUUCAAAUUGUGUUAGUCGAGUUGGUUUUAAUCUAUUGGUUCAAGUUUUCAUAUUAAAUUACUAAGUUUAAUUAAUUUUGAUUCGAGUUGUGUUAGUCUUUUUCAAUUGAGCUGAUGUCCAUGUUAAAUUACUAAGCUUAAUUAGUUUUGAUUCAAAUUUUAUUAAUUUUUCUGUUAAGUUCAUUUCUGCUCCUGAGUUUAAAUUAGGUCUAGUUGUUAGUCUAGUCUGUUGUUCAAUUUAGGUUUAGAUUAACUCUAAUUAAUACUUAGCCUUGUUUGAUUAUUCUUUUAGAAUUAUUUGAUCCAUUUGAACCCCGGCUGUUUGAGCAAAUUAGAGGGUAAAUACAGGGUACACUAGGGCAAAUAUAGGUAGCUUAAAGAAAGAAUCUAGCAGUAACAGAAAAUGGAAGGCAAUAGAACCUUCUAGACUGGGGUUCCAAUUUGAAUAUUAGGACUUAAGUAGUAUAAGUUGGGUAACAAGUCAGUACUCUAAGGGCUCUUAAGCUAAAACUUAAAAUUAGGAGGGACUAAGGGGGUAAAAAACUAAAUAUGAAAGAUGCCCUAAUAUUUGCCUAUGAAAGGCAGCCUGCCUUGCAAGUUAAGUUGGGAAGUCUAAAAAUUGGAAAUCCAAAGUUUUGAAAUCUAAGAGUUUGGAGAGGGAAUUUCGGAUCUUAAAGAGUUCUAGAGAGCCUAAAAAGCUACAAAAAUUCAACACAAAUCUCUGCAGAGUUUGGGAGUUCAAAUACAUAGAUUUUAAAUCUUAGAGGAAAGGAAAUCUUGAAAAUCAACACAAAAAUAGCUUAGGAGUCCAGCAGAGCUACUGUUUGUAUUCGUUUGGUUGAGAAGUGUUUAAGUUUGUUCAUUAAAGCUUGGUGUUAGAUUCAGCUGGUUAUUAGUCAAUUGGUUAAACUCUAAGGCAUUUCGAGUCGUUAGCUGGGUUAAUACUUGUUGCUGAUUUCCCAUACUAUUUGCUGAUACUCUCGCUCACUUUUGUCUUCAAUUUCCAGGUAUUUACUUAACCUUUGAAGGGCCAGAGGUUGUGAAAAUAUAUAGUUGAAGAGUGAUUUGAAUAGAAGGCUGUUCUAAGCUGAUUUCCUUUUCCUGAUUCCCCGUCUAUUCAUUUGAUUUGUAAUAGGAAAUGUAAUCCUAUAUUCUGUUCGACUUGUUGAUCUAUGCAAUAGUCAUUAGUAAAAACAACAGGGCACCGGUGCUUGAUAGUUUAUAGCAUAGGCUGUUUCAGGACUGUAUUAUUCAUUUACUCAAACUCUGUUCUAAGUAGGUAAAGCAUGUGUAGUUAAAUAAAGACUGUUGCAAGAGUAGCUUGUAUUAAUUAGUUUUGCUGAGAUUAGUUUGGAUCCUGUUUUAAAUCGGGAAGUAGGUCCGUUAAAAUUGCUCAAGUUCCUUUUAAUUUACUGAAUGUAUCUCAGAUAUCCUAGCCUAAACACAUGGGUUUUAAAAAGUUAAUACUAGAUUCAUGUAUUCUUUUAAGGAAAUCAAUCAGAUAAUAUGUUUUUAAUUGUUUUGUUUUUUUUUAAAAUUGGAUCGUAAGCAGUUUGAAUUGUUCUAGUUGUUUUAAAUUGUAUUAGUUCCUUUAAGGAAAUCGUUACUGUGAUAGCCAAUCAAUAAUUUCGAAUCUAAAAGAAAAUGAACAAAAAUUCAAAUUUAUCUUUUUAUACUUGUUAUUUGAAGUGUAAAUUAAAGGCUGCCUAUGAUUGAAAAUGGGCCUGUUUAUGGGCCCAAAAUUUGAACAGCUUUACAGCUGAGGCACCAGUAUACGGGCAGCUUCAGUGACAUCGAAUUUUAAAUAUUGGGCCUCUCUUUCUGGCCCAGCUGGGUCAUA